rnacentral:rRNA from 1 species
CACGUAGGGGGCAAGCGUUGUCCGGAUUUAUUGGGCGUAAAGAGCUCGUAGGCGGUUCGGUAAGUUGGGUGUGAAACCUCCAGGCUCAACCUGGAGACGCCACCCGAUACUGCUGUGACUAGAGUCCGGUAGGGGAACGUGGAAUUCCUGGUGUAGCGGUGAAAUGCGCAGAUAUCAGGAGGAACACCAGCGGCGAAGGCGGCGCUCUGGGCCGGAACUGACGCUGAGGAGCGAAAGCGUGGGUAGCAAACAGG